rnacentral:rRNA from 1 species
CUCUCGCAUCGAUGAAGAACGCAGCGAAAUGCGAUAAGUAAUGUGAAUUGCAGAAUUCAGUGAAUCAUCGAAUCUUUGAACGCACCUUGCACCCUUUGGUAUUCCGAAGGGUAUGCUCGUUUGAGUGUCAUUGUACUCUCACACUUCUGAUCCUUUGGAUUGGGAGCGGUGGACUUGGGUGUUGCUGCUUUGCUGUGGCUCACCUCAAAUGCAGUAGUGCAACUCUUGGUUGGACAUAGUACGGCGUGAUAAGUGUCUUCGCCGGCACCUCGCAAGAGGGUGGCUGAUCAGGGGCUCUGUGCUUCCAACCGUCUUCGGACAACAUCUGACAACUUGACCUCAAAUCGAGUAGGACCACCCGCUGAACUUAAGCAUAUCAAUAAGCGGAGGAAAAGAAACU